rnacentral:rRNA from 1 species
GACGAACGCUGGCGGCGUGCUUAACACAUGCAAGUCGAACGGUGAACGAGGGAGCUUGCUCCCUCCGGAUCAGUGGCGAACGGGUGAGUAACACGUGAGCAAUCUGCCCCGAACUCUGGGAUAAGCGUUGGAAACGACGUCUAAUACCGGAUACGACGCGGGAGGGCAUCCUCUCCGCGUGGAAAGAACUUCGGUUCGGGAUGAGCUCGCGGCCUAUCAGCUUGUUGAUGAGGUAACGGCUCACCAAGGCGACGACGGGUAGCCGGCCUGAGAGGGUGACCGGCCACACUGGGACUGAGACACGGCCCAGACUCCUACGGGAGGCAGCAGUGGGGAAUAUUGCACAAUGGGCGCAAGCCUGAUGCAGCAACGCCGCGUGAGGGACGACGGCCUUCGGGUUGUAAACCUCUUUUAGCAGGGAAGAAGCGAAAGUGACGGUACCUGCAGAAAAAGCACCGGCUAACUACGUG